rnacentral:rRNA from 1 species
AUUGAACGCUGGCGGCAGGCCUAACACAUGCAAGUCGAACGAGUGGCGGACGGGUGAGUAAUGUCUGGGAAACUGCCUGAUGGAGGGGGAUAACUACUGGAAACGGUAGCUAAUACCGCAUACCAUCAGCUGUGCCCAGAUGGGAUUCGCUUGUUGGUGGGGUAACGGCUCACCAAGGCGACGAUCCCUAGCUUGUCUGAGAGGAUGACCAGCCACACUGGAACCGAGACACGGACCAGACACCUAUGGGAGGCAGGAGUGGGGAAUAUUGCACAAUGGGCGCAAGCCUGAUGCAGACAUGCCGCGUGUAUGAAGAGGGCCUUGGGGUUGUAAAGUACUUUCAGCGGGGAGGGGUUACCCGCAGGAGAAGCACCGGCUAACUCCGUGCGAGCCGCCGCGGUAAGAC